rnacentral:rRNA from 1 species
UACGGAGGGUGCGAGCGUUAUUCGGAAUUACUGGGCGUAAAGCGCGUGUAGGCGGGGAAGCAAGUCUGAUGUGAAAGCCCUGGGCUUAACCUGGGAAGUGCAUUGGAAACUGUUUUUCUUGAGUACUGGAGAGGAAGGGAGAAUUCCCGGUGUAGAGGUGAAAUUCGUAGAGAUCGGGAGGAACACCAGUGGCGAAGGCGCCCUUCUGGACGGUUACUGACGAUGAGACGCGAAAGCGUGGGGAGCAAACAGG